UUAAAGUCUCGAGCCUUACCUGGAGUUCCCGACGACUUGAGAAGUUCCCAAAGUGUUUCUCUCGAGCACGACCUCACAGAACUCAGAUUUAUAGUGUGUAAAAGUGAAAAAUAAAUGUGAGAACAGCAGUAUUUAUAGGUGAAAACGAUGGGAGGCCAAAGGUCGCUAUCUACGACUGUCCACGAAGACACGUGUCACAAAUUCAAGCCAUUCUCUGCAACGGUCAUAUCUCGAUCUCUAUCGUCAGCCAUCACUUCUCGACGACGAUUCGAGA
rnacentral:lncRNA from 1 species